GAGUGGCGAACGGGUGAGUAACACGUGAGGAACUUGCCAAUAAGAGGGGGAUAACACCCGGAAACGGGUGCUAAUACCGCAUAAGUUUUCCCAGUGCAUGCUGGGAAAAUAAAAGGUGGCUCUGCUACCGCUUAUGGAUAGCCUCGCGGCGCAUUAGCUAGUUGGUAGGGUAAAGGCCUACCAAGGCCAUGAUGCGUAGCCGACUUGAGAGGGUGAUCGGCCACACUGGAACUGAGACACGGUCCAGACUCCUACGGGAGGCAGCAGUAGGGAAUCUUCCACAAUGGGUGCAAGCCUGAUGGAGCAAUGCCGCGUGAGUGAAGAAGGACUUCGUUUCGUAAAGCUCUGUUGUUGGGGAAGAACACGGAUAGGAGUCACUGCCUGUCCCUUGACGGUACCCAACCAGAAAGUCACGGCUAACUACGUGCCAGCAGCCGCGGUAAUACGUAGGUGACAAGCGUUGUCCGGAUUUAUUGGGCGUAAAGCGAGCGCAGGCGGUCCGGUAAGUCUGAUGUGAAAGCCCACGGCUCAACCGUGGAACGGCAUUGGAAACUGGCGGACUUGAAUGUAGCAGAGGAAAGUGGAAUUCCAUGUGUAGCGGUGGAAUGCGUAGAUAUAUGGAGGAACACC
rnacentral:rRNA from 1 species